rnacentral:piRNA from 1 species
GAGGACUGUAGUGGAUAAGCUGUAGCGA